GAAAUGUCUAAAACUGCAAUGAAAGGCUCAGAUGUGUUUUAAUAAGAUCUACCCAGGAGCCCCAGCACAUAGCUGUGUAUCCUACUUGUAAGCCAUUCUAGUUCUUCAGUGAGGGAUGCUGCCACAGCAUGGCUUGAUGAGAGGUGCCAUGUCCCCGCCCAGGAUCCGAACCAGCAAACCCUAGGCCACCAAAGCGGAGCGCGCGAACUCAACCAUGCGGCCACCGGGCGGCCCCAUAGAGAGCUGGAACAGCUCUGGCCCCGGGUCAGUGCGCUUGAGCGAAUGAGGGCGAGCCAUCAGCAUCUGCGUAGUUCCUGAGGCCGAGCGCAAGGCAGCACAGCUCUGCCCGGCCUGGCGACGGGCGACCCAACCCGAUGGCACAGCCCGUGCCGCCGAAACGCAGGACACGUGAAACAUAUUCAGUCUGAGCAAGAUGCAGGCUGCUCUGUGGAGACUCUGCCACCAGCCCCCUCUUGAGACGGAGGUUGAGGAGGGCAACUGGGUAGACGUGUGCCUCACCUGGACAGAAAAUGGGAGAUAAGCAGGUAACAGGUAUGGCGUAUUAACCAGGUGCCAGCAUGCCGCUAAGCUUGUCGCCUGAAUUCCCUGGUUAAGUCCUCCCACGACCCCGGGCUGGGUGCUGGUCCUAUCAUCGUUUCAAGGUGAAGGAACCGAGGCCCAUAUGGGUUGAGUGGGUUGCCCAUAAUCAUUCAAUUAACCGUCUCUCCUGCACGUCCCAUUUCACGGGGCUUGCGGUGAGGCCCCUAAACCUGCCUUUAUAAAGAGCACCUGUGGCUGCUUUUGGCCUGAGGCAGGUUGGGAAACGCCGCACUUUCUGGAAAAGUGUGGACUCAUUUUGGAAGGCGAUUCUGCUGUUCUGAGGGCUGUCCCCCACUUGCCUGCUGCAGCCCCUCAGAAGCCCUGGGGCCACUCCUGCCCCUCAGACAGGCUCCCCUCGGGCGGCCCGCAUCGCCUGGACGCUCCGGUGGAAAGCGAGCGGGUGGCAUGUGCUGGGCGUUGGUCGCAGUUCAUUUUCCUCCCUUGCAGAAGCCCCGUUUGUCUCCCACCGCGUCUGUUUGUGCUGGUUCUUAAGUUCUGA
rnacentral:lncRNA from 1 species